rnacentral:tRNA from 1 species
AAGACGUUAGAUUGCAAAUCUGAAAAUGUAAUUAAAAAUUGCUAAAGCUUUAUAUAUGUUAGUGUUAA